UCCUGCUUCAUGGUUCAAUCAAAACUCAGCAGAGACACCAGCAGCAAACAGAAGCACUGAUCUGCUGUCUGAAUGCUGACGGAGCUGCUGUCAUGAGGGGGAUUUCAGGGCUGCUGCUGCUCCUGCUGCUGCCGGUCUGCAGCUCCCAGGGUGACUACAUGGGGACAGUGCUGACCUACACCCCCAGAAACACAAAUGCAGAUGGAUCUACAUCGGUAUGUAUGGAUUAUCUUUGGAAAAUCUGGUCUGGCUAAGAUCUGUGAGGUGUGUGUGUGUGUGUGUAUAUUCUGUUACAUAAUACUUUUUUUAACAUUAUAAUCUCAAAGAACACACAUUCAUGACUUUAACACCAGGUGUUCUCAAUUUUCUCAGCAGGUGGUUUUUCAGUACAACCGGAACUUUCGCUCGUGUAACAAUAAUGUAUGGACGCCCUGUGUUAACUGUACGUAUGGGGAGUCAGGCUUCUUUUAUUCAGUCUACUCCAGCAUCGACUUCUGUCAGACUGAAGAAACCUUGAUCAGCUAUUAUUCCCGUGACUAUGUGUUUCAGUACGGGUGGAGCGAAAACACCUGGAUCAGUAACAUACAUAACGUCACAUCAGGGAGAGUCACGUUCUACAUAGACCUGAGGAACCGGUCUGACACUGGGCGUGCCAACACCUCACCACAGACCAACAUCCUUCCAGAAGUGAGAGUACCUUCAAACUGUCAGAGGGAUUUCAGGUUGUUGGCGUUUGACCCUGACGGAGACGAGGUUAAGUGCAGAUAUGCACUCUCAUCACAAUCAGAGUGUGACAAUUGCACACAGCCGUCUGUCCUCAGCCUCUCAUCAUCAGUGAGUAACCAACACCUGCUCACUUUGGCAUGUAGUUACACCUCAGAUUAA
rnacentral:lncRNA from 1 species